rnacentral:misc_RNA from 1 species
GAUGAAGAACGUAGCGAAAUGCGAUAAGUAAUGUGAAUUGCAGAAUUCAGUGAAUCAUCGAAUCUUUGAACGCAUCUUGCGCUCCUUGGUAUUCUGAGGAGCAUGCCUGUUUGAGUGUCAUUAAAUUCUCAACUACACUGACUUUGAAUUGGUGUGGCUUGGAUUUGGGGGGAAAAUUGUUGUGGGCUUUUUGUAUAGUCUGCUCCCCUGAAAUUGAUUAGCGGUACCUUUGUGGAACUAUCUACAGGUGUGAUAAUUAUCUACAUCUUAGACAUCUGCUGGAAUGCUGCUUUCUAAACCUUACUUGUAUUGACAAUCUUGACCUCAAAUCAGGUAGGACUACCCGCUGAACUUAAGCAUAUCAAUAAGCGGAGGA